rnacentral:rRNA from 1 species
ACGAACGCUGGCGGCGUGCCUAAUACAUGCAAGUAGAACGCUGAAGAGAGGAGCUUGCUCUUCUUGGAUGAGUUGCGAACGGGUGAGUAACGCGUAGGUAACCUGCCUUGUAGCGGGGGAUAACUAUUGGAAACGAUAGCUAAUACCGCAUAACAAUGGAUGACACAUGUCAUUUAUUUGAAAGGGGCAAUUGCUCCACUACAAGAUGGACCUGCGUUGUAUUAGCUAGUAGGUGAGGUAAUGGCUCACCUAGGCGACGAUACAUAGCCGACCUGAGAGGGUGAUCGGCCACACUGGGACUGAGACACGGCCCAGACUCCUACGGGAGGCAGCAGUAGGGAAUCUUCGGCAAUGGGGGCAACCCUGACCGAGCAACGCCGCGUGAGUGAAGAAGGUUUUCGGAUCGUAAAGCUCUGUUGUAAGUCAAGAACGGGUGCGAGAGUGGAAAGUUCACACUGUGACGGUAGCUUACCAGAAAGGGACGGCUAACUACGUG